rnacentral:misc_RNA from 1 species
GAUGAAGAACGUAGCGAAAUGCGAUAAGUAGUGUGAAUUGCAGAAUUCAGUGAAUCAUCGAAUCUUUGAACGCACAUUGCGCCUCCUGGUAUUCCGGGAGGCAUGCCUGUUCGAGCGUCAUUAAAAUCACUCAAGCUUAGGUUUACCUAUUGCUUGGUCUUGGAGAUGGAAGCCAAUUUAUCGGAAUCCUCUUCGAAAUUCAAUGGCGAAGACCCUUGCUCUCCCAAGUGUAGUAAUAACUUAUGUCACUGAAGGAAGCGAGAAAUCUUCUGCCGUAACCCCCAUAUUUUCUAUGAUUGACCUCGGAUCAGGUAGGGAUACCCGCUGAACUUAAGCAUAUCAAUAAGCGGAGGA